rnacentral:rRNA from 2 species
UGGGGAAUAUUGCACAAUGGGCGGAAGCCUGAUGCAGCAACGCCGCGUGCGGGAUGACGGCCUUCGGGUUGUAAACCGCUUUCGCCUGUGACGAAGCGUGAGUGACGGUAAUGGGUAAAGAAGCACCGGCUAACUACGUGCCAGCAGCCGCGGUGAUACGUAGGGUGCGAGCGUUGUCCGGAUUUAUUGGGCGUAAAGGGCUCGUAGGUGGUUGAUCGCGUCGGAAGUGUAAGCUUGGGGCUUAACCCUGAGCGUGCUUUCGAUACGGGUUGACUUGAGGAAGGUAGGGGAGAAUGGAAUUCCUGGUGGAGCGGUGGAAUGCGCAGAUAUCAGGAGGAACACCAGUGGCGAAGGCGGUUCUCUGGGCCUUUCCUGACGCUGAGGAGCGAAAGCGUGGGGAGCGAACAGG